CCCUUAGAUGUUCUGGGCCGCACGCGCGCUACACUGAUGCAUUCAACGAGCACUCGCUUGGCCGAGAGGUCAGGCUAACCUUUGAACGUGCAUCGUGCUGGGGAUAGAUGAUUGCAAUUAUUCAUCUUCAACGAGGAAUUCCUAGUAAACGCAAGUCAUCAGCUUGCAUUGAUUACGUCCCUGCCCUUUGUACACACCGCCCGUCGCACCUACCGAUUGAAUGGUCCGGUGAAAUUCUCGGACGACGCCAGGGAAUGUUAAUUCGGCACCUGGUGUUGAAAGUUAAUUAAACCUUACCAUUUAGAGGAAGGUGAAGUCGUAACA
rnacentral:rRNA from 1 species